AGUAGCACGCUCAAGACCCGAAGCGGAGUGAUCUAGCCAUGGGCAGGUUGAAGCGGAGGUAAGACUUCGUGGAGGACCGAACCCACCAGGGUUGAAAACCUGGGGGAUGACCUGUGGUUAGGGGUGAAAGGCCAAUCAAACUCCGUGAUAGCUGGUUCUCCCCGAAAUGCAUUUAGGUGCAGCGUCGUGUGUUUCUUGCCGGAGGUAGAGCACUGGAUAGGCGAUGGGCCCUACCGGGUUACUGACCUUAGCCAAACUCCGAAUGCCGGUAAGUGAGAGCACGGCAGUGAGACUGUGGGGGAUAAGCUCCAUGGUCGAGAGGGAAACAGCCCAGAGCAUCGACUAAGGCCCCUAAGCGUACGCUAAGUGGGAAAGGAUGUGGAGUCGCAGAGACAACCAGGAGGUUGGCUUAGAAGCAGCCACCCUUGAAAGAGUGCGUAAUAGCUCACUGGUCAAGUGAUUCCGCGCCGACAAUGUAGCGGGGCUCAAGCGUACCGCCGAAGUCGUGUCAUUGCAGCAUGUACCAACGGAGCUGUGAUGGGUAGGGGAGCGUCGUGUGCCGGGUGAAGCAGCCGCGGAAGCGAGUUGUGGACGGUUCACGAGUGAGAAUGCAGGCAUGAGUAGCGAUACACACGUGAGAAACGUGUGCGCCGAUUGACUAAGGGUUCCUGGGUCAAGCUGAUCUGCCCAGGGUAAGUCGGGACCUAAGGCGAGGCCGACAGGCGUAGUCGAUGGACAACCGGUUGAUAUUCCGGUACCCGCUUUGAAACGCCCAAUAUCGAGCCCAUUAAUGCUAAGGCCGUGAAGCCGCCCCGGAGCCUUCGGGCAAAGGGGAGUGGUGGAGCCGCUGAACCAAGGUGGUAGUAGGUAAGCGAUGGGGUGACGCAGGAAGGUAGUCCAGCCCGGGCGGUGGUUGUCCCGGGGUAAGGGUGUAGGACGUCACGUAGGCAAAUCCGCGUGACACAUAGUCUGAGACCUGAUGCCGAGCCGAUUGUGGUGAAGUGGAUGAUCCUAUGCUGUCGAGAAAAGCCUCUAGCGAGUUUCAUGGCGGCCCGUACCCUAAACCGACUCAGGUGGUCAGGUAGAGAAUACCGAGGCGUUCGGGUGAACUAUGGUUAAGGAACUCGGCAAAAUGCCCCCGUAACUUCGGGAGAAGGGGGGCCAUCACCGGUGAUCGGACUUGCUCCGUGAGCUGGGGGUGGCCGCAGAGACCAGCGAGAAGCGACUGUUUACUAAAAACACAGGUCCGUGCGAAGCCGUAAGGCGAUGUAUACGGACUGACGCCUGCCCGGUGCUGGAACGUUAAGGGGACCGGUUAGUGACCUUUCGGGGUUGCGAAGCUGAGAACUUAAGCGCCAGUAAACGGCGGUGGUAACUAUAACCAUCCUAAGGUAGCGAAAUUCCUUGUCGGGUAAGUUCCGACCUGCACGAAUGGCGUAACGACUUCUCGACUGUCUCAACCAUAGGCCCGGUGAAAUUGCACUACGAGUAAAGAUGCUCGUUUCGCGCAGCAGGACGGAAAGACCCCGGGACCUUUACUACAGUUUGAUAUUGGUGUUCGGUUCGGCUUGUGUAGGAUAGGUGGGAGACUGUGAAACCGUGACGCCAGUCAUGGUGGAGUCGUCGUUGAAAUACCACUCUGGUCGUGCUGGAUGUCUAACCUCGGUCCGUGAUCCGGAUCAGGGACAGUGUCUGAUGGGUAGUUUAACUGGGGCGGUUGCCUCCCAAAGGGUAACGGAGGCGCCCAAAGGUUCCCUCAGCCUGGUUGGCAAUCAGGUGUUGAGUGUAAGUGCACAAGGGAGCUUGACUGUGAGACCGACGGGUCGAGCAGGGACGAAAGUCGGGACUAGUGAUCCGGCGGUGGCUUGUGGAAGCGCCGUCGCUCAACGGAUAAAAGGUACCCCGGGGAUAACAGGCUGAUCUUCCCCAAGAGUCCAUAUCGACGGGAUGGUUUGGCACCUCGAUGUCGGCUCGUCGCAUCCUGGGGCUGGAGUCGGUCCCAAGGGUUGGGCUGUUCGCCCAUUAAAGCGGUACGCGAGCUGGGUUUAGAACGUCGUGAGACAGUUCGGUCCCUAUCCGCUGUGCGCGUAGGAAUAUUGAGAAGGGCUGUCCCUAGUACGAGAGGACCGGGACGGACGAACCUCUGGUGUGCCAGUUGUCCUGCCAAGGGCAUGGCUGGUUGGCUACGUUCGGGAGGGAUAACCGCUGAAAGCAUCUAAGCGGGAAGCCUGCUUCGAGAUGAGUAUUCCCACCUCCUUGAGAGGGUAAGGCUCCCAGUAGACGACUGGGUUGAUAGGCCGGAUGUGGAAGCCC
rnacentral:rRNA from 1 species